rnacentral:rRNA from 1 species
CUACGUGCCAGCAGCCGCGGUAAUACGUAGGGUGCGAGCGUUAAUCGGAAUUACUGGGCGUAAAGCGAGCGCAGACGGUUACUUAAGCAGGAUGUGAAAUCCCCGGGCUCAACCUGGGAACUGCGUUCUGAACUGGGUGACUAGAGUGUGUCAGAGGGAGGUAGAAUUCCACGUGUAGCAGUGAAAUGCGUAGAGAUGUGGAGGAAUACCGGUGGCGAAGGCAGCCUCCUGGGAUAACACUGACGUUCAUGCUCGAAAGCGUGGGUAGCAAACAGGAUUAGAUACCCUGGUAGUCCACGCCCUAAACGAUGUCAAUUAGCUGUUGGGCAACUUGAUUGCUUAGUAGCGUAGCUAACGCGUGAAAUUGACCGCCUGGGGAGUACGGUCGCAAGAUUAAAACUCAAAGGAAUUGACGGGGACCCGCACAAGCGGUGGAUGAUGUGGAUUAAUUCGAUGCAACGCGAAGAACCUUACCUGGUCUUGACAU